UGACCGUGCAAAGGUAGCAUAGUCAUUAGUUCUUUAAUUGUGAUCUGGUAUGAAUGGCUUGACGAGACAUGGGCUGUCUUAAGGUGUGGAAUUUGUUGUUGAAUUUUGAGUUUGAGUUAAAAUUCUUAGAUGUUUUUAUGGGACGAGAAGACCCUAUGGUGUUGUGC
rnacentral:rRNA from 1 species